rnacentral:snRNA from 1 species
UCCAUUGACGAGAGAACUUA